rnacentral:rRNA from 1 species
AGUGAACGCUGGCGGUAGGCCUAACACAUGCAAGUCGAACGGCAGCACAGUAAGAGCUUGCUCUUACGGGUGGCGAGUGGCGGACGGGUGAGGAAUACAUCGGAAUCUACUUUUUCGUGGGGGAUAACGUAGGGAAACUUACGCUAAUACCGCAUACGACCUACGGGUGAAAGCAGGGGAUCUUCGGACCUUGCGCGAUUGAAUGAGCCGAUGUCGGAUUAGCUAGUUGACGGGGUAAAGGCCCACCAAGGCGACGAUCCGCAGCUGGUCUGAGAGGAUGAUCAGCCACACUGGAACUGAGACACGGUCCAGACUCCUACGGGAGGCAGCAGUGGGGAAUAUUGGACAAUGGGCGCAAGCCUGAUCCAGCCAUACCGCGUGGGUGAAGAAGGCCUUCGGGUUGUAAAGCCCUUUUGUUGGGAAAGAAAAGCAGCAGGUUAAUACCCCGCUGUUCUGACGGUACCCAAAGAAUAAGCACCGGCUAACUUCGUG